CUUAGCCACCUUAAAUGUACCUUUUUUAGAAGUACGCAAUGUGUAAACACAAGUGAAUAACUUAAAGAAUAGUCUGUUGAGAUGAAACAGAAUAGUCCAUAUUUUGGGUGUGUGGAAGGUAAUGCAUGUCAAGGUCUAUGUCUUCAAGAAUUAUAACUCUUGGGGGACCACUGCCAGUUUGCAAACAAUUCCACUCCUGGAAAAGGUUUAAGAGAGUUUCUCUCCUUUAUGGAGUGCAUAGCUAAUCAAAAUGAGUGGAUUCUCAGUAGUUCUGGUGAAUUUUUUUAAGUUUAAAUAUUAAUAUUUCCAACAUUCAACUUUAUAUUUUCAGGGAUCGAUUUGCUUAGUGGUAUAAUACCUGAACUCUGUCAGAAAUAUCCAGAUUUAAAUUUCAUAAUUGGAGGAGAGGGACCAAAGAGAAUCGUUUUGGAAGAAGUUCGGGAAAGAUACCAGCUGCAUGACAGGGUGCGUCUUUUGGGAGCUUUAGAACACAAGGAUGUUAGAAAUGUCUUAGUUCAAGGACAUAUUUUUCUGAAUACCUCCCUUACUGAAGCAUUCUGCAUGGCGAUCGUGGAAGCAGCCAGUUGUGGUUUACAGGUUGUAAGUACCAGAGUUGGUGGAAUUCCUGAGGUGCUUCCAGAAAACCUUAUUAUUUUAUGUGAGCCUUCAGUAAAAUCUUUGUGUGAAGGAUUGGAAAGGGCUAUUUUCCAACUGAAGUCAGGGACAUUGCCGGCUCC
rnacentral:sRNA from 1 species